rnacentral:rRNA from 1 species
CCUACGGGAGGCAGCAGUGAGGAAUAUUGGUCAAUGGGCGCGAGCCUGAACCAGCCAAGUAGCGUGAAGGAUGACUGCCCUACGGGUUGUAAACUUCUUUUAUCAGGGAAUAAGGUGAGGCACGUGUGCCUUUUUGUAUGUACUUUAUGAAUAAGGAUCGGCCAAAUCCGUGCCAGCAGGCGCGGUUAGACGGAGGUUCCGAGCGUUAUCCGGAUUUUAUGGGUUUAAAGGGGGGGGAGAUGGGUAGUUCAGUCAGGUGUGAAAGUCUGCGGCUCAACCGUAAAAUCGCAAUUGAUACUGGCAGUCUUGAGUGCAGUAGAGGUAGGCGGAAUUCGUGGUGUAGCGGUGAAAUGCGUAGAUAUCACGAAGAACUCCGAUUGCGAAGGCAGCCUACUAAACUGCCACUGACAUUGAGGCUCGAAAGUGUGGGUAUCAAACAGGAUUAGAUACCCCUGUAGUC